rnacentral:lncRNA from 1 species
AGGAGUCCGACGAGGAGUUCGAUUACAGGCGAAGUGUCGGGCUGUAAGUCUCGCGAAGGAGCAAGCUUGGCAAAACGCUUGGAUUGGUAUUCCGCUGUUAAGUCUGGGAGAAUUGUCCGUGGAGAGGACUCGAGAAGGCUGGCUCGGGUGUGCGACACUUGAGCGCCGCGCGGGGAUUUUCAAGGCGAAAAAGGAAUGAGUAAAUCUGUUUGUUUAUAUUUGGUAUACGAGAUUUUUAUUUUGAUUUUGAUUUUCAGUUGAACGAAAAUGUCCCUAAUUUUUCUUUUUUUCUAUCCGGCCUAGGAGGUCGAAUUGAAAAUUGAAUUCGGAUAGAAUAAAUUUUGUUCGGAUUAAAUUUAAUUUUUAAAACUUAUUUUUUAAUUAAAAUAUAAAUUUAAUUUUAAAAAUCAUAUUUAUAAAUUUAAAUUUAAUUUAAACUUAAAUAAAAAAUCAAAAUUCAAUCAAGCAUUUGAAAUCUAAUUUAAAAAUUUAUAUUUAAAUUCAAAUUUAAUUUAAAAUCUAAAAUUUUAUUCAAAUUUUAUUUAAAAAUUAAAUUAAAUUGAUGGAUUCAAAUUGAAAUUUAAAUUAUAAUUUUAAGUUUGAAUUUGGAUAAAUCAAAAUUUAGUUUUAUAUUUUGAAUUAUUUGUUCAAUUUUAAAUUUUAUUUUUUUAAAAAAUAUAUAUUUAAAAUUUUGACAUCAUUUUAAAAUUUUGAUGUAAAUUUUUAAUAUCGAAUUUUCAAUUUAAAUUUAAACUAAUAUAUUAUAAAGAUAAAAUUGACAUAUUAAUUUGAUUACGUUUUUUAUAUCUAUUUAAACCAAACAUCGACAAUAGAAAUGACUCAUUUCGUUUCCGAUUCAGGUGGCGAACCAAAUAGAAUGAGAUAAUAAAUCAUUUCGAUUCCAUUUCCAGUUUAUUCUCAUUCCGAAUUUGAAACCGAUUCCGAUUUCGAACCAAACACACUAUUAUUUUAUUUAAGGUUAAUUACAUACGGCUCCCUGUAAAUAUAAUGAAUUACAAAUAUAUUCUUACAAAGUUUAACUUUCUUAUGUCAUUUCUAUAAAAGUUCAGUAAUAUUUAUAUUUGUCCUCCGGUUUGUUACUGUUACAGAACUGUUUGUUCUUUUACAGCAGAUAAUGAAAUGUUAAAUUUGUUAUCACAAAUAUGUUCCUCCAAAAACCUCAACUGUUAUAAUCGUGCAGAAAUGUCUCCCAAAAUUUUUUUCAAUGGUUAUUUUCUUUCUCUUUAAAAUUCAACCCAAUCUCUUCUCUUACUCAUUUUUUGUUUAAUAUUUUUUUUUAGCAAAAUAAAAAAAAUUAUAAGGAAAGUUGAAUAGGAAAGCAAUAUGCAGCGAAGCAACACGCGUCAUGGAUGAACGGGGGCAGAAAAAUUCUAGUUACGGAUUCGAAACUAAUAUAAAAGAGAGAGGGAGGAAGAGGACGAAAAAAAGAAAGAAGAAGAAGAA